CGGGAGGCAGCAGUGGGGAAUAUUGGACAAUGGGCGCAAGCCUGAUCCAGCAAUGCCGCGUGUGUGAAGAAGGCCUUCGGGUUGUAAAGCACUUUMAGUUGGGAGGAAAAGCUUGGGGUUAAUAGCCUUAAGUGUUGACGUUACCMACAGAAUAAGCMCCGGCUAAMUCCGUGCCAGCAGCCGCGGUAAUACGGAGGGUGCAAGCGUUAAUCGGAAUUACUGGGCGUAAAGCGCGCGUAGGCGGUUUGUUAAGUCAGAUGUGAAAUCCCCGGGCUCAACCUGGGAAUGGCAUUUGAGACUGGCAGGCUAGAGUAUGGUAGAGGKGAGUGGAAUUUCAGGUGUAGCGGUGAAAUGCGUAGAGAUUUGAAGGAACAUCACUGGGGAAGGGGACUCACUGGGCCAUUACUGACGCUGAGGUGCGAAAGCGUGGGGAGCAAAACAGGAUUAGAAAACCCCGGUAGUUCACCCCCUAAAACGAUGUCAAUUUGGUGUUUGGAGAAUUUAUUCUUGGUAUCGAAGCUAACGCGAUAA
rnacentral:rRNA from 1 species